GGAUGUGAUCAUACCAGCACUAAAGCACCGGAUCCCAUCAGAACUCCGUAGUUAAGCGUGCUUGGGCGAGAGUAGUACUAGGAUGGGUGACCUCCUGGGAAGUCCUCAUGUUGCAUUCC
rnacentral:rRNA from 1 species